rnacentral:rRNA from 1 species
GUAACGGCGAGUGAAGCGGUAACAGCUCAAAUUUGAAAUCUGGGUCUUUCAGGCUCCGAGUUGUAAUUUGUAGAAGAUGCUUUGGGUGCGGUCCCGGUCUAAGUUCCUUGGAACAGGACGUCAUAGAGGGUGAGAAUCCCGUAUGUGAUCGGUGGCUUGCGCCCGUGUAAAGCUCUUUCGACGAGUCGGGUUGUUUGGGAAUGCAGCUCUAAAUGGGUGGUAAAUUUCAUCUAAAGCUAAAUAUUGGCCAGAGACCGAUAGCGCACAAGUAGAGUGAUCGAAAGAUGAAAAGCACUUUGGAAAGAGAGUUAAACAGUACGUGAAAUUGUUGAAAGGGAAGCGCUUGCAACCAGACUUGCGCGGGGUUGAUCAUCCGGGGUUCUCCCCGGUGCACUCGGCCUCGCUCAGGCCAGCAUCGGUUUCGGUGGUUGGAUAAAGGCCUUGGGAAUGUGACUUCUUUCGGGGAGUGUUAUAGCCCUCGGUGCAAUGCAGCCUACCGGGACCGAGGACCGCGCUUCGGCUAGGAUGCUGGCGUAAUGGUUGUAAGCGACCCGUCUUGAAACACGGACCAAGGAGUCUAACAUCUAUGCGAGUGUUUGGGCGUCAAACCCAUACGCGUAAUGAAAGUGAACGGAGGUGAGAACCCUUAAGGGUGCAUCAUCGACCGAUCCUGAUGUCUUCGGAUGGAUUUGAGUAAGAGCAUAGCUGUUGGGACCCGAAAGAUGGUGAACUAUGCCUGAAUAGGGUGAAGCCAGAGGAAACUCUGGUGGAGGCUCGCAGCGGUUCUGACGUGCAAAUCGAUCGUCAAAUU